rnacentral:pre_miRNA from 1 species
CUGGUACAUGUAAUGGCACUGGAAGAAUUCACGGGAUUUUUUUUAAACAUUCCCGUGUUCUCUUAGUGGCAUACCUAGUACAGG